rnacentral:sRNA from 15 species
GUUUUUUUUUUACAUUGUUAAAAUUAAAAUUUUGUUUUGUGGUUGUGCCUUAUCUUUUUAUAUAGCCAGAUGCUAUAUACAAGAGGCUGUAUAGGUACUUAAUUACUUGAUUGUACUUAGGUUAUUUGAAUACCACAAAACAUCUGAACAAAAAGUUAGAAAACCAGCUUACAAAUUUAAACAACCCACACCUAUAACCAAAAUUCAUUUAACAUUUUAAAAGCCCAACAUUUAUCGGAAAAAUUCGGUUUGGCUUGAAGCGUAUAUAUAGUGUUGCACGAUUAUAUGCGUUAAAGGUAUCGGUUUAAAAAAUUUGGAUGUACGGAUAAGGUGCAGAAUCUACGCAUUAAUUAUAUGGACGUUGCUUGUUAUAAACCGGGUUGCCACAGAAAACUCUAGACUUUUUUACUCUAGUGGUUUGCCAAAUCCCCCGAAAAAUCCCGAUCUGAGGAGGCUUUAUUGUUCGGACAAUUCUCGGAACUCACGCGCAACAAUAAGAAUGGUUUUUAAAAAAAUUAGACGAGCGAAAAUAGUCAAAUCAAGAAUUAUAUUCCUGUGGAAACGAUUAGAAUUCACCCUUGUUUUAUGGUCGUACUGCUGUUUUCAGCCAAAACGUUUCGUUUUCGUUUUAAGGUGCUCGAUAUGUUUCGUUUUUCAUCGUUUCUGGCAAACAAAAACAGCUGACCUAGCUGCUUUUGUAAAAAUACAGCGUGAUUAAAAUGUCUUUUAUUUUUGCUUGCAAAACGACUGCAGAAAUGACGUGAUCUAAGAAGACCUAGACAUCUUAGAUGCAACAUUUGCGUAUCUAACAUGUCUGACGAGCUGUGAGUAACAGCAUGCAAAUUGAAAAUUAAAUUGCCAAUGAUCAAGA